AUGUCCAUCGUCUCGUACGCCAGCGGAGCGGGCGCUUCGCUGCCGCAGCCGGUGCUGCUGCUCACUGGAGAGAACUACACAGCCUGGGCGAUCAAGGUGGAGGCGAACCUUGAUGCGGCCGGGCUGUGGGAGGCGGUGGUGGUACCGGAGGACGCGGCGGCGGCUGUGAUCGCGAAGAAGGACAAGCCGGCGUGGGCAUACCUGCUGGGCGUGUUAGCUAAGGACCUGCUGCUGUAG
rnacentral:rRNA from 1 species